rnacentral:rRNA from 1 species
UACGGAGGGGACUAGCGUUGUUCGGAAUUACUGGGCGUAAAGCGCACGUAGGCGGCUCUUUAAGUCGGGGGUGAAAGCCUGUGGCUCAACCACAGAAUUGCCUUCGAUACUGUAGAGCUUGAGACCGGAAGAGGUAAGUGGAACUGCGAGUGUAGAGGUGAAAUUCGUAGAUAUUCGCAAGAACACCAGUGGCGAAGGCGGCUUACUGGUCCGGUUCUGACGCUGAGGCGCGAAAGCGUGGGGAGCAAACAGG